rnacentral:rRNA from 1 species
GUAGUCUCGCACAGAUGCAUAUCAAUAAGCGGAGGAAAAGAAACUAACAAGGAUUCCCCUAGUAACGGCGAGUGAAGCGGGAAGAGCUCAAAUUUGAAAUCUUAAAGGGUUUCCCUUUACGAAUUGUAGUUUAAAGAAGUGUUUUCUGUUGAGGUUUUGGUAAAAGUUCUUUGGAAUAGGACAUCAUAGAGGGUGAGAAUCCCGUAUUUGACCUUUACUUUCAACUUUGUGAUACACUUUCAAAGAGUCGGAUUGUUUGGGAAUGCAGUCCAAAAUGGGUGGUAAAUUUCAUCUAAAGCUAAAUAUUGGCGAGAGACCGAUAGCGAACAAGUACCGUGAGGGAAAGAUGAAAAGAACUUUGAAAAGAGAGUUAAACAGUACGUGAAAUUGUCAAAAGGGAAGCGUUUGACACCAGUGUUGUUUUUCUGAAAAUCAAUUAAAGAACUGUUUAUGCUAAGCUGUUUAGACUUUAUCAGCUAACUGUUUAGUUUUGAGCUUUUCUUUAAUGCACUUUUCAGUUAACAAGUCAACAUCAAUUUCUUUUGCUGUAAAAAAGCUUGAGGAAGGUGGCUUGAGAUUCGUCUUAAGUGUUUAUAGCCUCUUGCCUAUGCAGUCGGAGAGAUUGAGGUCUGCAGCGUAGAUCCUUCGGGGCUAAAUGCAUUUGUGCUAAGUUAUAGCAUUUUAUAGACAACUUGUUGACUAUGAUUUGCCUUGUAGCUUACUCGCUUAUGUUAUUUUACCUACGCUUAGGAUGUUGAAGACUCUACAGAGAUA